CUUCUCCAACAGGGCAGGGUCUGAAGCCCACAGUCCUGACCCCACUGAGCUGGCCCUGCAGGAGCCUCGGGAGCAGACCCAGGGGCAGAGGGCACUGUGCACCCUUGCUGGGUAGGCAAAAGUCUGUCUGCUUCUCUACAGCUGUGUGGCUUCAAAGCCCAGACAUCAGGGACUGAAGACUGAGCAAGCCAUCCCUCUCUUGUCCCAGACCCACCUGAACCCACCAAAGCUGGGAAAGGAGGGGUAGUGGAGACUCCAGAAAAACAGGAAAAAUUUAAACACAACCACUAAGUAAAGCAUCGUUAACUCCUGCUGUGCUGAGCCCACAUACAGAAUGGAGUCUCUGUGAGGGCAGCGAUGUUGGUUGGCUGUAUCCUUGGGCUGGAAGAGUACCGGCAAGCAGCAGGCACUGAAUAGAAUUUCUAAAUAUACAAACAGAUGAACCAAUGGAUGGAUGGAUGAAUGAAGACUCUGUAUAGCUUUGGAACUGAAGCCCCAGGCCUACCAUCCCUGAGAGGCAGCUGUGCUCAGCGUGGCAGGAUGCCCCAUUUGACGGUAGGCUUCUCCCAGAUGGCUAACUGCUUCAAGUCUUUCCCCCAGUUACAUCCCCCAGAUGUAACAUGUCUAUGGGAGAAUUAUGACAUGGGCAGAUGAGAGUCCCAGCCAUGGAGGUGACAAGGUGCCUUGGAGCCUCACAGGGCAGCAGCCACCAGGAAGAGACAUGGAGGCCAGGAAGGUCCUGGAACACCAGAAUUCGGCCAACAGAGCCUAAGGCCAGCAUGUUGUGGAGGGGAAGCAGCCUGGGGGCAUUCGGGAGACCUGGAGAUGUGGCAGCUGGCCAGGAGCUGGGCUACAACCUUGACAAUCACUAACCUCUCACCUUCUCCUUGUCCUCCCGGGAUAUUUAUAGCCUCCCUCUUUCUGAAAACUCCUUCACCCAUUUUUCUGAGCUUAACAAGCUUGGUGAAUUGAAGUCAGGUGGACCACCCCCCCAACCUCAGCAAGCCUGCUGGGGUGACUGCACUCAGGCCAGGCUUGCUGACAGCUCCUGCUCCAUGACAGGGACCCUUGAGGGCCUGCUGAGAGUCACAGGGUUGGGGUGUCCCCGGGAAGAUGGCAUCUAAAGAGAAGGCAGCAGCUGGGCACCCAGGCAUACCUCAGCCAGAGAUGCUGGAGGAUGGUGACCCCAGAAGGGUUCAGCUCACCCCAGGCCUCCUCCCUGCUUUAGGAAAAACAAACAGAUUGGGACAGUGGAAAAACAGCUGUACCUUUAAAUUAUCUGGCCCACAGAUAUGAAAAACAUUUGCAUGUUGAAGCUGUUUGCAUCUUCAGUUAUUUUUAGGGUGAACCCAGUUGCCUCCCCUUGGAACCGGAUGAAGCCCCAGAGGCACGUAGUCCUUUUUCCCAGGCGGGGGUCCUGGUCCUGUUUCCCUGGGAAUGAGGCUUGAGCAUGAGCUCUCUGGGACCCAGCCCCCGACCAGAACCACGCGGUGCAUUCAGGCUCGCGGGAGGAACUGGAGCACCAGGGAGCCAAGGCUGCAACUUUGAAGAUUUGCCACUGCUGACAUCAUGGCCACCCACCUGGGGCCAGAAAGAGCCCCUCCGCUGCCCCCAGAGCAUGGGUGAAGAGACGAACGCUUAGCCUACUGCCGCCUCUCAUGCCAGGCCCAGCUGAUGGGAAUAGUUUGCUGAGAUAUUUCUAGAGCCAGCAGCAAUUAAAGCAGAUUUUGUCUUCCACUCCCCUUCCCCAAAACAAGAAUAAAUCAGUUCUA